rnacentral:rRNA from 1 species
CCUACGGGUGGCUGCAGUGAGGAAUAUUGGUCAAUGGACGCAAGUCUGAACCAGCCAUGCCGCGUGCAGGAAGACGGCUCUAUGAGUUGUAAACUGCUUUUGUACGAGGGUAAACGCAGAUACGCGUAUCUGUCUGAAAGUAUCGUACGAAUAAGGAUCGGCUAACUCCGUGCCAGCAGCCACGGUAAUACGGAGGAUUCAAGCGUUAUCCGGAUUUAUUGGGUUUAAAGGGUGCGUAGGCGGUCGGAUAAGUUAGAGGUGAAAUCCCGAGGCGUAACUUCGGAAUUGCAUCUGAUACUGUUCGGCUAGAGAGUAGUAGAGGUAGGCGGAAUGUAUGGUGUAGCGGUGAAAUGCUUAGAGAUCAUACAGAACACCGAUUGCGAAGGCAGCUUACUAUGCUACUUCUGACGUUGAGGCCCGAAAGCGUGGCGAGCAAACAGGACUAGAGCCUCGCGUAGUC